rnacentral:pre_miRNA from 1 species
AAUAAGCACAGUUGUAAGUUUUAAUUCCAACUUUGACCAUUCAUCUUAUUUGAAAUAUUUUUAUAAUUAGUAUUUUUAUUGUUAUUAGAUGAUAAAAUAUAAAUAGGACUUUAUGCAUGACUUAACUUUUAAAUUUUUUUCAUAAAAUUAUCAAAUAAGACGGAUAGUCAAAUGUUGGGCACGAAAACUUAUGGCUGCACUUAUA